UACAGAGGGCGCGAGCGUUGUCCGGAAUCACUGGGCGUAAAGGGCGCGUAGGUGGCCACUAUAAGGCCGCGGUGAAAGUUCGGGGCUCAACCUUGAAUCUGCCGCGGCGACUGUAGGGCUAGGGCACCGUAGAGGCAGAUGGAAUUCCGGGUGUAGCGGUGGAAUGCGUAGAGAUCCGGAAGAACACCGAUGGCGAAGGCAGCCCCCUGGGCCGACACUGACGCUCAGGCACGAAAGCGUGGGGAGCAAACAGG
rnacentral:rRNA from 1 species